rnacentral:rRNA from 1 species
CCAGAGAACUUUCCAGAGAUGGAUUGGUGCCUUCGGGGAACUCUGAGACAGGUGCUGCAUGGCUGUCGUCAGCUCGUGUUGUGAAAUGUUGGGUUAAGUCCCGCAACGAGCGCAACCCUUAUCCUUUGUUGCCAGCGGUCCGGCCGGGAACUCAAAGGAGACUGCCAGUGAUAAACUGGAGGAAGGUGGGGAUGACGUCAAGUCAUCAUGGCCCUUACGAGUAGGGCUACACACGUGCUACAAUGGCGCAUACAAAGAGAAGCGACCUCGCGAGAGCAAGCGGACCUCAUAAAGUGCGUCGUAGUCCGGAUUGGAGUCUGCAACUCGACUCCAUGAAGUCGGAAUCGCUAGUAAUCGUGGAUCAGAAUGCCACGGUGAAUACGUUCCCGGGCCUUGUACACACCGCCCGUCACACCAUGGGAGUGGGUUGCAAAAGAAGUAGGUAGCUUAACCUUCGGGAGGGCGCUUACCACUUUGUGAUUCAUGACUGGGGUGAAGUCGUAACAAGGUAGGCGUAGAUGA